UGAUUAUAUAUUUUUAAAAAUGAUCAAAUGAGAAAUUCUCGUAACAAGCAAAGAGCUAAAAAUUCCCAAAGCCUAUAACCAUUGUAAAAGAAUCCAUUGAGAAAAACCUCAAAAAAAAAAAAAAAUUGUAAACAAUCAAUGGCAUCAUCGCCUGCCCAGGACGAUGCUUUGAAGAAACUCGAAUUUCUCUCUCUCGUCUCCAAAGUCAGUUCCGAGCUCGAGAGCCAUGUUGGGUUUGCCGAUAAGGUUUUGGCCGAAUUCAUCACCGACAUGGGCCGUCACUCUAACACUGUCGAUGAAUUCGAUGCCAAGCUCAAAGAAAACGGUGCCGAGUUGCCCGAUUACUUCGUUCGCACGCUUCUCACUAUUAUCCACGCGAUCCUGCCUCCGAAACCCAAAGCAGCCGACAAGGAUUCCAAGGCGGAAAACACCGGUGACGGUAAGAAGUCUAAAUUUAAAGCUUUAGCGAUUGCUGAUGAUAAGGAUAGAGCCAAAGAACUAGAGAAGGAAAUUGAGAUGGAGAUGCGAGAUAGGAAGGAUAAGGAUAGGGAUAGGGAUAAGAGGGACAGAGAUAGAGAUAGGGAUAGGGAUAGGGAUAGGGAUAGAGAUAGGGGCAGAGAUAGGAGUAGGCAUAGAGAUAGAUAUAAGGAGGAGGAGGAGGAGGAGAAGGAUAGGAGGGAUUAUGGCAUUCGAGGAAGAAAUAGGAAUCGAACCCGGGAUAAUGAGGAUGACAGGGAUUUUAGGAAUAGGGGCAGAAACAGGGACCGGGAUAAUGUGGAACGUGAUGAAGACGGGGGCAGGAGUAAUGGGAAGUAUAGGGAUAAUGAGCCUGAAUUGUAUAAGGUAUACAAGGGGAGGGUUUCGAGAGUGAUGGAUUCGGGUUGUUUCGUAGAGUUGAAUGAGUUAAGGGGAAAGGAGGGUUUGGUUCAUGUUUCCCAGAUGGCUAGUAGAAGGAUUCCCAAUGCUAAAGAUGUUGUGAAACGGGAUCAGGAGGUUUAUGUGAAGGUAAUUUCGAUUUCAGGUCAGAAGUUGAGUUUGUCUAUGAGAGAUGUUGAUCAGAAUACUGGUAGGGAUUUGCUGCCAUUGAAGAAGAGUUCAGAUGAUGAUUCCUUUAGAACCAAUCCUUCAGGGGGGAAAGAAGGGCCCGUGACAAGAACUGGUCUUUCAGGGAUUAGGAUUCUAGAGGAUGAGGAUGCUGCCCCAUCGCGUAGGCCUUUGAAGAGAAUGAGUUCACCGGAGAGGUGGGAAGCCAAACAGUUGAUUGCUUCUGGUGUUUUGAGACUAGACGAGUAUCCAAUGUAUGACGAGGACGGAGAUGGAAUGCUUUAUCAAGAAGAGGGUGCCGAGGAAGAGUUGGAGAUUGAGAUGAAUGAGGAUGAACCUGCCUUUUUACAAGGGCAGACUAGGUACUCUGUCGAUAUGUCACCAGUAAAAAUAUUUAAAAAUCCAGAAGGGUCCUUGAGUCGAGCCGCUGCUCUCCAGUCUGCACUUAUUAAGGAACGGAGAGAAGUACGAGAGCAGCAGCAGAGGACAAUGCUGGAUUCAAUUCCAAAGGAUCUUAAUCGUCCUUGGGAAGACCCAAUGCCAGAGACUGGUGAGAGGCAUCUUGCGCAGGAGCUUAGAGGUGUUGGAUUGUCAGCAUAUGAUAUGCCUGAAUGGAAGAAGGAUGCUUAUGGAAAAGCUUUGACUUUUGGACAGAGGUCUAAACUUUCAAUUCAAGAGCAGAGGCAGAGCCUUCCCAUUUAUAAACUGAAAAAAGAACUCAUUCAAGCUGUGCAUGACAAUCAGGUACUGGUGGUCAUUGGUGAGACUGGUUCAGGUAAGACUACACAGGUAACCCAGUACCUUGCUGAGGCUGGGUACACUACAAGGGGUAAGAUCGGAUGUACUCAACCUCGUAGGGUGGCUGCAAUGUCUGUGGCGAAGAGGGUAGCUGAGGAAUUUGGUUGUCGGUUAGGGGAGGAAGUUGGUUAUGCUAUUCGCUUUGAAGAUUGUACUGGACCAGAUACUGUCAUCAAGUACAUGACUGACGGCAUGCUUCUAAGGGAGAUUCUGAUUGAUGAGAAUCUUUCUCAAUACUCGGUCAUUAUGCUUGAUGAAGCACAUGAGCGUACAAUUCAUACUGAUGUCCUUUUUGGGUUAUUGAAGCAGCUUGUGAAACGGAGGCCUGAUCUUCGUCUGAUUGUUACAUCUGCUACACUGGAUGCGGAGAAGUUUUCAGGGUAUUUCUUCAACUGUAAUAUUUUCACAAUUCCUGGGAGAACGUUUCCUGUGGAGAUACUCUAUACGAAACAGCCUGAGAGUGACUACCUAGAUGCUGCCUUGAUAACAGUCCUACAGAUACACUUGACUGAACCUGAAGGUGACAUUCUCCUCUUCUUGACUGGUCAGGAGGAAAUUGAUUUUGCAUGCCAGUCUCUUUACGAGAGGAUGAAAGGGCUAGGUAAAAAUGUUCCAGAGUUGAUUAUUUUACCAGUUUAUAGUGCCCUUCCUAGUGAAAUGCAGUCUAGGAUUUUCGAUCCAGCACCUCCAGGGAAAAGGAAGGUGGUGGUGGCAACCAAUAUUGCUGAGGCUUCUUUAACUAUAGAUGGAAUAUUCUAUGUGGUUGAUCCUGGUUUUGCAAAACAAAAUGUUUAUAAUCCAAAGCAAGGGCUUGAUUCCCUAAUCAUAACACCAAUCUCACAAGCAUCAGCAAAGCAACGUGCUGGGCGUGCUGGACGUACUGGACCUGGAAAAUGCUACCGCUUAUACACUGAAAGUGCAUAUCGAAAUGAGAUGUCACCUACCACAAUUCCUGAAAUCCAGAGGAUUAAUCUUGGCAUGAUAACACUACAAAUGAAGGCCAUGGGCAUAAAUGAUCUCCUUUCUUUUGAUUUUAUGGAUCCCCCUCCACCCCAAGCUCUCAUUUCUGCCAUGGAGCAAUUAUACAGUCUAGGGGCUCUUGAUGAGGAGGGACUUUUGACUAAAUUGGGUAGAAAAAUGGCAGAAUUUCCUCUUGAUCCUCCACUAUCCAAGAUGUUACUGGCCAGCGUGGACCUCGGGUGUAGUGAUGAGAUAUUGACAAUUAUUGCAAUGAUCCAAACAGGUAAUAUCUUCUACAGGCCAAGGGAAAAGCAAGCUCAGGCUGAUCAGAAGAGGGCCAAGUUUUUCCAGCCUGAAGGAGAUCAUUUGACUCUACUUGCUGUAUAUGAAGCUUGGAAAGCAAAGAACUUUUCAGGACCUUGGUGUUUUGAAAAUUUUGUUCAGUCUAGAUCCUUGAGGAGGGCACAGGAUGUCAGAAAACAGCUUCUCAGCAUCAUGGAUAAGUACAAAUUGGAUGUAGUGUGCGCCGGAAAGAACUUUACAAAGAUCAGGAAAGCUAUCACGGCAGGGUUCUUUUUCCAUGCUGCUAGGAAAGACCCGCAGGAAGGAUAUAGAACACUGGUGGAGAACCAGCCUGUUUAUAUACACCCAAGCAGCGCCCUGUUUCAGAGACAACCGGACUGGGUGAUCUACCAUGAGCUGGUAAUGACUACAAAGGAGUACAUGCGAGAGGUAACAGUCGUAGAUCCCAAGUGGCUGGUUGAACUGGCUCCCAGGUUCUUUAAAGUAGCAGAUCCCACGAAAAUGAGCAAGCGGAAGCGUCAAGAACGAAUUGAACCACUUUAUGAUAGAUAUCAUGAACCUAAUUCUUGGCGGCUUAGUAAACGACGAGCUUGAUAUCUUUUCGUCUGCUCUGCUCUGCAUCUCACCUUGUAUUUCUCUGUUCAAAGUUGAGGUUUGGUUGAGGUUUCACAGGUGGAAUGCUCCCUCCAUUUUUUUCGUUCCAUGCCUUGAUCGUACGAGGAGGGAUGCUCUGUUCAUUCCUAAAGAAAUUAUGGGGAUCCACUGCUGUCUUCACAUCCACCAAUCUCUCAAAAUUUCCAUUGAAGUAACUCUCUCCAUAAACUUUACCUUCUUGAUAGCUCCAAUUCUUGGUGAUGCCAAUAUCAAGGUCCCUAUAGUUCAAAUAAGCACUCCUUGGGUUUUUAGAGACAAAGCUAGUCAUGUAACUGUGAAGCCUAUUCACCAGGCUUCUGCUCCUUUUGUCAGCCUCAAUUCCCAUAUCCUUCCAGUUUAUUGAAUACUGUAUCUUAAACAAAUUCCCUGCUCUAUGCGGGAAUGGUGUCUCUGUUUCCUUUAUUUCAUUCAUUUUUCCACCAUAUGGAUUGAAAACCAACCCUGGCUCCUCCAAUUCAAUCAUCUUCUUCCAAAGCCAUUGCAGCCCAUCUUUUGAUAUUGGGGUCUUCACAUAAUCAGAUUUCCUCUUCAUGAACUUCACAUGGUAAGAUUCUCUAUCAAGCAACACAGUAGGUGAAGUUCCUUUGCCAAAACUAGCCCACCAUAGAGCUGAUUCAAUCCAACUCAUCUCAAAGCAAUCCUCUGUUACAAGACCCAAUUCAGGGAAAUCCUCAGCCAACAAAGGAACAACACUAUUGACAUCCCCUAAAUACAAUGCCAUGAUUGAAAUCUUGAUGGUCUUUUGCUUGUUUAAUGUAACUGGCUGCACCAGCAUCCUCAUGAACAGAUUGUCAUCUGUUGUGGGAGCAACGGAUUGCCAUUUGUAAACAACAUCUGUAGCGUUUUGUUCCAAGGUUCUUUCGAGCUUGAAAACCGUCACCGUUUCGGGGACUUCAACAAGCUUGAUGUUGAAAGCUAGAAUCACCCCGAAACUAGCUCCUCCGCCACCUCUGAUAGCCCAAAAGAGAUCCUCUCCCAUAGCUUUUCUAUCCAGGAUAUUGCCAUUAACAUCAACUAUCUUGGCAUCCACCACAUAGUCCACUGAGAGACCAUAUUUUCUCACCAUGUUACCAUAACCAGCACCGCUGAUAUGACCACCAACACCCACAGUGGGGCAAACACCAGCAGGGAAUCCAUAAACUUUACUCUUUUCCCAAAUCCUAUAGUAAAGUUCCCCAAGCGUUGCACCUGACUGAACCCAAACUGAUUGAUCCGCCAUGUUAAUCGAUAUUGAACGAAGAUUGAACAUGUCGAGGAUGAAAAAGGGUUGGUCAGACACAUAAGAGACCCCCUCGAAGUCAUGGCCGCCACUCCGAAUCCUAAGCUGAAACCCAAUAUUGUUGGAACAUAUAACGGCAGCCGAGACAUGGGAUUCCGUCAAAGGUGUAAUGAUGAUCACAGGCUUUGGCGUUGAAGAAGUGUUGAAACGAGCAUUACGAAUAUACUGUUCCAAAACGAUUUCAUAUGUAGCAUUGGAGUGAGAGUAAACAAUGUCGGAGAUAUUAUCCGAUGAGUUAGAACGGGUUUUCAGGCAUUGAACAAAGGAUUCAUAAAUGGAAUUGGAUGCUGCCAGGGAAAAGCAAAUGUUGAAAGCUACAAGUAAGAGAGGAAGAAGCGAUGGUGUUGACAAUGGCGGCGUCAUUGUUUGUAGUCGGUGCGUUGUGAUUAACAUUCAUGAAAUGGGAAUUUGCGAAUAGCAUUGGAACCACGAGGAAUCUAAAUGCGGCAAAAGGCGUAUGGUAUCAUCCGCCGCAAGGUGGAAACGUGGAUUCUAGUGGCUAAUACAUGGCCAUGGGACAUUGGUUGAAGUGCGAUUCACCCAAAGAAAAAAAAAAGCAGCUGUAAUAGAUGGAGAUAAACCGACUUAAAUGAAUGAUUAUAUGCAUGCCAAUAUUGUUACUAAAUUUGAAAGCGUUAAUGUAUUAUUUGGUAUUUAUGUUUAGUAUUAAUAUUUAAUUUGGUAUUUAGUUUUUUUUAUU